AAAUAUUUAUAAAAUAGAAUAUAAUAAAUGACUAAGAAUAGCCUAAUGGUAAAACAAAUUUGAAAUACAGAGUGAAAUGAAGAACAGUUUUUUUACAAUAUAAGAGGGAAAACCUGAGAAAGAGAAGAAGCACAGUGAAUGCACAAGUCAACUGGUGAUGAGAAGAGGUGAGUGGAGAAACAUAAAUUUAGAAUUUGUUAUAAGCUACUGCCUUUGAUUACUGAAAACGUCAGGUGAUGUUUUGAUCCAUGAUAAGAUUUCUUUUCUCUUAUAGCAAUUUUGAUUGUCUGAUAUGAAGUCUUGUGGUAUAAUAUUUACUAGUUUGUCACAUCUAUACGGAAAUUGCAUUCUACAU